UGGGGAAUAUUGCACAAUGGACGGAAGUCUGAUGCAGCAACGCCGCGUGCGGGAUGACGGCCUUCGGGUUGUAAACCGCUUUUUCUCAUGACGAAGUUUUUUGACGGUAGUGGGGGAGGAAGCACCGGCUAACUACGUGCCAGCAGCCGCGGUGAUACGUAGGGUGCGAGCGUUGUCCGGAAUUAUUGGGCGUAAAGAGCUUGUAGGCGGUUUGUCGCGUCGAUAGUGCAAACUCAGUGCUUAACGCUGAGCCUGCUGUUGAUACGGGCAGACUAGAGGAAGGUAGGGGAGAAUGGAAUUCCCGGUGGAGCGGUGGAAUGCGCAGAUAUCGGGAGGAACACCGGUGGCGAAGGCGGUUCUCUGGGCCUUUCCUGACGCUGAGAAGCGAAAGCGUGGGGAGCGAACAGG
rnacentral:rRNA from 1 species